rnacentral:rRNA from 1 species
GCAAGUCGAACGGUAACAUUUCUAGCUUGCUAGAAGAUGACGAGUGGCGGACGGGUGAGUAAUGCUUGGGAACUUGCCUUUGCGAGGGGGAUAACAGUUGGAAACGACUGCUAAUACCGCAUAAUGUUUUCGAACCAAACGGGGCUUAGGCUCCGGCGCAAAGAGAGGCCCAAGUGAGAUUAGCUAGUUGGUAAGGUAACGGCUUACCAAGGCGACGAUCUCUAGCUGUUCUGAGAGGAAGAUCAGCCACACUGGGACUGAGACACGGCCCAGACUCCUACGGGAGGCAGCAGUGGGGAAUAUUGCACAAUGGGGGAAACCCUGAUGCAGCCAUGCCGCGUGUGUGAAGAAGGCCUUCGGGUUGUAAAGCACUUUCAGUUGUGAGGAAAAGUUAGUAGUUAAUACCUGCUAGCCGUGACGUUAACAACAGAAGAAGCACCGGCUAACUCCGUGCCAGCAGCCGCGGUAAUACGGAGGGUGCGAGCGUUAAUCGGAAUUACUGGGCGUAAAGCGCACG